CAGUAGCCACGGUAACACGGAGGGUGCAAGCGUUAAUCGGAAUUACUGGGCGUAAAGCGCACGCAGGCGGUCUGACAAGUCAGAUGUGAAAUCCCCGGGCUUAACCUGGGAACUGCAUUUGAAACUGUCAGGCUGGAGUCUUGUAGAGGGGGGUGGAAUUCCAGGUGUAGCGGUGAAAUGCGUAGAGAUCUGGAGGAAUACCGGUGGCGAAGGCGGCCCCCUGGACAAAGACUGACGCUCAGGUGCGAAAGCGUGGGGAGCAAACAGGAUUAGAUACCCGCGUAGUCCCUGUCUCUUAUAC
rnacentral:rRNA from 1 species